rnacentral:rRNA from 1 species
UACAGAGGUGGCAAGCGUUGUUCGGAAUUACUGGGCGUAAAGGGCGCGUAGGCGGUCUUGUCAGUCCCUUGUGAAAUCCCCCGGCUCAACUGGGGAACUGCACGGGAAACAGCAGGGCUUGAGUUCGGGAGAGGGAAGCGGAAUUCCGGGUGUAGCGGUGAAAUGCGUAGAUAUCCGGAGGAACACCGGUGGCGAAGGCGGCUUCCUGGACCGAUACUGACGCUGAGACGCGAAAGCGUGGGGAGCAAACAGG